AGCCCCGUGGUGUAGCGGUUAUCACUUAGGACUCUGAAUCCUAUAACCCCAGUUCGAUUCUGGGCGGGGCUG
rnacentral:tRNA from 1 species